GUUUGACCUUAACCAGUUGAGCAUAUCAGUUAAUGGCUGACAAUAUGUGCCUCUCUGAUCAUGUGCAGGAGUAGUGGUGGAGCAUCAUAGCCAUGUGUUGAGAGAAAUUCUUUGGGGUUUGAAUAAAUGUAAAAUAAGCAAACUUUGAAGGAAAUAUUAGCCAUUCUUCAUACUUUCUAGGGGUAAGCAAAUAAAUUAUAAUAGUUGCUACCCGAGGACAAAAAUCAUAU